UUAUUACUUCAUUUCCAGAACAGCACAGAGAGCCUCUGCGGAGGUCUCGGGAGCCACGGAAUCUGGAAGUGCUGACUGUCACGGUGCUGAAGCAGAGCUUUUGAGAUCCAUAAGGGGAAAUCUGUUGACGAGGAUACAGGACAACAACAUGUCACAAGGUCCAUGCUGGGUAAAGCAUGGCUCUGGUUGAUGAAGAUCUUCACUAGGGAAAAGGAAGACCAAAAUGUGCUCCAAUUCUGAGCAUAUAUUUAUGCUGUGGUCCAGAGCAUAUAUUUACUUAAAAAAAAAAAAAACAAACAAAACAA
rnacentral:lncRNA from 1 species